AUUCGGUGUUGUUCUUAGUGUGCAGUCAUGAUGAUCUUAGGUUAUCAUUUAUACUUCAGCAGCUUCACUGAGCACUACUUACAACGGAGCCAUUGAGCAAUUUUAAUUGACUUAGAGAUUACAACGAACCUCUCUAAUUAAGAUGUAUCACUGUGUACCACACGUAGAGAGAACUGCAGUUCAGCACAAGGCAGCCCAUCCUGUCAGGGGCUUCAAAUUAGUUCUGUUUUUAAAUAGAGAUGACGUAAAACAUUCCUGUAGAAAACUAAGAAUUUGCUGAGAGGAUAGAGUAAAAAGUUCCAUCUUACAUCUAAAGAGAGAAAUUAAAGCCCUCAUUAAUUAUUGUGAGAUUACUGGGAUGGGGCUCCUUCUCUCCUUCCCUCCUUUUGUGUGUAUUUUGGCCAUUGUAGUAGUUAGAUUCCUUUCAGUUGCAACUAACGAGAAACUUAAUUCAACUGAUAGGUAACUGUGGUUGAGAGGCAGCAUGGGCUCCAGCCAUGAGAAGACCAGGAGCUUGUCCUGUUUCUCCGCUCUUGUCUUGGUUCUUUUCUCUGCAUUGUUUUUAUUCUCAGGCUGGCUUCUCCCCUUGUGUUAAUAUGAUUGCCAGCAAUAAUCCAAGGAGGCAUGCUUCCUCGGUCAUGUCCAGAAGAAAAUAGCUCUUCUUCAAUAUGUAAGACACCUUAAUUAUUACCAAAUAUCUAUUCUUCCUUGUGACAGCUGAUUUUAUGUGUCAACUUGACUAGGCUAAGGGAUGCCCAGAUGUCUGGUAAAAUGUGUGUCUUCUGGAAACACCCAUUGGAAGAGAUUAGCAUUUGAAUCAGCAGACUGAGUAAAGCAAAGAAUCCUCACCCAAUCAGGUGGACCUCAUUCAAUCUGCUGAGGGCCUGAUUACAGCAAAAAGGAGGGGGAGGGGAAAUUUGCUCUCUGCCUGAGCUGAGUGCCCCAGACAUCAGUGCUCCUGGUUGUGGGGCCUUACAACUUGGACCAGGACUUACAAGGUUGUGCCUCCCUGCACCCUGCCACCUUCUUGGGCUUUUGGACUGCUGAUGGGACUUAUGUCAUUGACUCCUCUGGUUCUGAAGCUUUCAGACUUGUACUGAACUAAAGCAUUGGCUUUCCUUGUUCUCCGGCUUGUGGAUGGCAGUUCAUGGGACACUGUGACUUCCAUAAUCACGAGAGCAGACAACACCUCUAUUUUCAAUGUUUCUUCUGAAUGAUUUCCCGCCUGGUGGAUUGACAGGCCACAGGGUACCCCUGUCAUCUUUUUCCACAAGGAGGACUUAGAAUAGCCAGUGACAUAAAUGAUGAGCACCUGGACUUGGAAGAACCUGGUGUCCUAUUCAGCAGUUUGUGUUUUCAGCUGGGCCAGUUGGAAAUCCAGCCAGACUGAGUGGCAUGGAACAAUGUGUGCAGCUUGGCUACACUCCAGAGAAGUCAGGAGGAUUUCCAGGGUGGGAACACCACCACUUCUCUGACCCCCACUAACCUUCCAGAUGCUAGCUUGACAACAAUUGAGAAGCUGUGACAAUAUAGACUUCGCUCCCAACCUCUUAAGAGGCCACUCCAUGCUGAGAGCUGUGGGCCCUGAUGGCGUUUCAGCAGGGAAUGAGGACCGAGCUGGACAUCUGCAUCGGACCUCCCUUGGGGCACUGAAUACUGAGGAAAAAGCCCCAGAUUUUCACCAUACCAUAGUUUGCCCCCUCUCUCUACCUCCUGCUCUUAGAAAAGGGAACAUUUGGGAAGUUCAGCAGCUUUGCUCACUGGCUGGGUCUCUAGCAGAGGCCUGUGCUGGCCAGAGCUGGGCACAAGUAGCUGGGCAGGACUAGCCAGGAGGGUGUGUGGUGCGGCUGUGAGAGCCCAGGUGCCUGCCUGGGGCUCCAGGCACAGGACACAGGCACGCACCAUCAGCAAGCCCACUGCUUCCCGCUGUCAGUUCCCCAACACACUGCCCUCUGGAGCCCUGCCAGGGUCCACGGCAGUGGGCCAGACUUGCUGUAAUAACCAGCACACACCAGAUUUG
ensembl:lncRNA